UAAUACGUGCGUAAAUCCCGACUUCUGGAAGGGACGUAUUUAUUAUAUUUNNAGGCCAGCCGGGCUUGCCCGACCUAUGGCGAAUCAUGAUAACUUCACGAAUCGCAUGGCCUCGUGCCGGCGAUGUUCCAUUCAAAUUUCUGCCCUAUCAACUUUCGAUGGUAGGGAUAGAGGCCUACCAUGGUGGUAACGGGUGACGGAGGAUUAGGGUUCGAUUCGGAGAGGGAGCCUGAGAAACGGCUACCACAUCCAAGGAAGGCCAGCAGGCGCGCAAAAUUACCAAUCCCCGACACGGGGAAGGUAGUGACAAUAAAAUAACCAUACCCGGGCAUCAAUGUCUGGUAAAUUGGAAUGAGUACAAUCCUAAAUCCCCUUAAACGAGUAUCCAUUGGGAAGGGCAAAGU
rnacentral:rRNA from 1 species